GCAGCCGCCAAAGCAGUUGCCAGCAGCUUCAUGUGGAGCCUGCUCCCUCUCUGAGGAGUGUGUCUCUUUAAAUAUCUCACAUAAAAACCAAGGGACUCUAAUUCAGAAAGGUGUUGGUGAGACCCAAAUCGUACGGUGGAUCGUAGCGUGUUUUUACCAUCCCUCACUGGAGCGGAGCAAUCGCAACGGGACGCACUGCUGAUCGAUACGUUCAGAGGAUCUGGUGACCCUCGCUGUGGCCAUGCCCAAGCCACCCGCUUUGCAGACAGAGGUGAUCUUGGCCUUCAGGAAGCUCUAUCAGCAGGACUAAGAUGGAAUAGGAGUUGGAAAGCCUAUAGUCAUCAUGGGAAUGGAGACACUGCUUUGUUGGAAAAAAGACCACGUUACAUAGUUUAUCUGGACAAUCACAGCCACUUGCAGCAGCAUUGCCUGUGCUGCAUUUGCUCUUCAGUGAACUGGAGCUGCUUGUCAUCCAGGAGGUCAUCCUGUAGCUCACAGAACUCAAGAACCCAGUGAGGAGACAGCAACUGACUUGAGAAGAGCUACAUUGGAUAUUAAAUGUUCCUAAAAUCACAGAAUGGCUGAAGUUGGAAGGUGAUCUCUUGAGAUUAUCUGGUCCAACUUGCACUUAAGGGAUACCCAGAACAGUGGGCCCAGGAACUUGUCCACAUGGCCUUUGAAUAUCACCUUUUUGGCCAUGUGGAUGCACUGAUGUCUCACGUUCAACUCGAUGGUCACCAGGAUCCAUGGGAGCAUCCUACCAGGAUUCAUAGACUUGUCAUCCUGUGCUAACAGCAAUGCUUCCUUGUAUCUGAAGGUGAGCAGUGUUGAAAUGUACUCUGUGGAAGACAAAACCCCCUGGAACCUGGGGACUACAGCAGCUCUGGGAGAAGGAGGCACUGUGUUGAAUCAGGACGUUGCACAAGAGCCAGCUUCAAACCGUUUAGGGUAUUUGGAUGUGCAACAUUAAUAUCCCACUCAUGCUCUGCUUUGAUUGCUGAUUGCUUCUAUUUAUAAUCGGAUAUCAUCAGAGUUCCUUCACUUCUUCCUCUCAAAUAGACUGCACCUCCUUCUCAUCCUCCUCCACCUCUCCUUCCCCCCUGCUGAGACCCACCAUGGAGCCACUUCUACAUUUUGCUUGCAAUAAAGUAAAAGGUUAUGUGGUUCCAUUCUAACUCCUUGGUCAUAGCUAUGUAAAAAGCCUCAAAUGAGGACAUCAAGGAGAAGCAGAGCAAAACUUCCAUGAGUACCAGAUGCACAGGGUAGUACACCUCACAGAGGCCAAGAAGAAAGAAAACCUUUGAUUAAAUUACUUGGAUUGUAUCCCCCAAAAUUUAUUACCCAUUGUUUCAUUUAAAAUCAGAGAGAAAGCUCUUAGGAGUGUAUUUUAGAAAGCAACCCAUUAUCUUGCACAUGGUAUAGCUUCAGUCUGCCAAUAGAAAGUGGAGAUUUUGUAUCAGUGGUUAAAAUUGAAAAUGUCUGAUUGCAUUCUCACUGUAACUGUUUUCACUCGCCAAGUUAGAGAAGGCUGAAAGAAACUGUGUAGAUCAAAUCCCUCUUUGGCAUUCCCAUGUCCUUGUUAGUGUGAUUGAUACAGAAGCAUUCCCC
ensembl:lncRNA